rnacentral:ncRNA from 2 species
CCGUUCUCAACGGGGUGCUGCGCCGAGUGCGCGAGCUGAGAAAAUACCCGUCGAACCUGAUCCGGAUAAUCCCGGCGAAGGGAUUUGAGGCUAACUCAAAA